rnacentral:rRNA from 1 species
AAUAUUGCACAAUGGGCGAAAGCCUGAUGCAGCAACGCCGCGUGAGCGAUGAAGGNCUNNGGGUCNUNAAGCUCUGUCCUUGGNNNNNAAUAAAUGACGGUACCCUUGGAGGAAGCCCCGGCUAACUACGUGCCAGCAGCCGCGGUAAUACGUAGGGGGCAAGCGUUAUCCGGAAUUAUUGGGCGUAAAGAGUGCGUAGGUGGUUUUGUAAGCGCGGGGUGAAAGGCAAUAGCUCAACUAUUGUAAGCCCUGCGAACUGUGAGACUUGAGUGCAGGAGAGGAAAGUGGAAUUCCUAGUGUAGCGGUGAAAUGCGUAGAUAUUAGGAGGAACACCAGUGGCGAAGGCGACUUUCUGGACUGUAACUGACACUGAGGCACGAAAGCGUGGGGAGCAAACAGG